UACGUAGGGUCCAAGCGUUAAUCGGAAUUACUGGGCGUAAAGCGUGCGCAGGCGGUUCGUUGUGUCGGCGGUGAAAGCCCCGGGCUUAACCUGGGAAUGGCCGUCGAAACUGGCGAACUGGAGUGUGGCAGAGGGGGGUGGAAUUCCGCGUGUAGCAGUGAAAUGCGUAGAGAUGCGGAGGAACACCGAUGGCGAAGGCAGCCCCCUGGACAAAGACUGACGCUCAGGUGCGAAAGCGUGGGGAGCAAACAGG
rnacentral:rRNA from 1 species